rnacentral:rRNA from 1 species
GAGGGGCUUGCGUCCGAUUAGAUAGUUGGUGGGGUAACGGCCUACCAAGUCGACGAUCGGUAGCUGGUUUGAGAGGACGACCAGCCACACGGGGACUGAGACACGGCCCCGACUCCUACGGGAGGCAGCAGCAAGGAAUAUUGGGCAAUGGGCGAAAGCCUGACCCAGCGACACCGCGUGGGGGAAGAAGACCUUCGGGUUGUAGACUCCUUUUAUUUGGGAAGAAUAAUGACGGUACCAGAUGAAUAAGCCCCGGCUAACUACGUGCCAGCAGCCGCGGUAAUACGUAGGGGGCGAGCGUUAUCCGGAUUUACUGGGCGUAAAGCGGGUGUAGGUGGCCUGUCAAGUCAGAUGUGAAAUCUCCCGGCUCAACUGGGAGGAUGCAUUUGAUACUGAUGGGCUAGAGUGCAGCAGAGGGUGAUGGAAUUCCCGGUGUAGUGGUGAAAUGCGUAGAUAUCGGGAAGAACACUAGUGGCGAAGGCGGUCACCUGGGAUGUAACUGACACUGAGACCCGAAGGCGUGGGGAGCAAACAGGAUUAGAU